AAUAAACAAAAGCACUGGAUUUAUCUACUGUAUGUGCGGGAUCAGAAUGACCUAUGAAAAGCUUGGCCAUUUAGGAAAUUGAUAAGCAGGCCUCAAGCUGGUGAUGAGUCAGGUACAAAGAAGCUGAUUCUCACUUCAUUUGCCACAGUUUUCCCUACCUGCUCUGCUAGUGGAGUUCUUUAGAAGGUAGUAAUGAAUGUUUUUCUCGAAUUAAAUCUGAAUGAUGAGAUCUCCCCUCUUUCAUGAUUCUUGCCUCUGGCAAGGGAGCCCCAAACAUAAACUGUCUCCUUCUUUUAAAUUACUGCAUACCCACUAAUGAAGGAGUUGGCAGAUGAUAGGAA